UACCCGCAGUUCAAGUGGUAGUCGAUUUUAUUGGGCCUAAAGCGUCCGUAGCCGGUCUGGUAAAUGCCUGGGUAAAUCGUCUGGCUCAACCAAACGAAUGCCGGGUACACUACCAGACUUGGGACCGGUUGAGGGAGAGGGUACUUCAGGGGUAGGAGUGAAAUCCUGUAAUCCCUGAAGGACCACCAGUGGCGAAGGCGCUCUCCUAGAACGGGUCCGACGGUGAGGGACGAAAGCCAGGGGAGCAAACCGGAUUAGAUACCCGGGUAGUCCUGCCGUAAACGAUGCGGGCUUUGCAUUGGGGAUCCUACGAGGGUGCCCAGUGCCGAAGCGAAGGCGUUAAGCCCGCCGCCUGGGAAGUACGGUCACAAGGCUGAAACUUAAAGGAAUUGGCGGGGAGCACCGCAAUGGGAGGAGCGUGCGGUUU
rnacentral:rRNA from 1 species